rnacentral:tmRNA from 1 species
GGGGGUGACAUGGAUUCGACUAUUGACCGUAGAUUAAUGUUGCAUGUCGAAGAUGACGGUUGGCUUCGUAAAAAGCCGUUAAAAAUCAUAAAUGACAACAAAAUUAUGAAUAUCGACUUCAGCAAUGAGGCCGAAGCAAUUGCUGCUUAAUUUAACAAGUAGCACGUCUAAUCAUCAGAUACUCGCUAUGAUGAUUGGGUGUGUAUCUAGCGAGUAGGCGAUGUAUUUAUGCGGUAGGUACAUCGAUCUCAGCAUAUCGCAAAGAGGUGAUAUCAGUUUUCUGAUGUACUGCAUCACUUCUCAUAAACAUCAGAUAAACAUGUAGAUGCAUUUUUUGAACAUUAGUAGGACGCGGGUUCAACUCCCGCCACCUCCACCA